UGGGGAAUAUUGGGCAAUGGGCGAAAGCCUUACCCAGCAAUGCCGCGUGAUUGAAGAAGGUCUUCGGAUUGUAAAGGUCUUUUAUUGGUGACGAAAAAAAUGACGGUAGCCAAUGAAUAAGCCCCGGCUAACUACGUGCCAGCAGCCGCGGUAAUACGUAGGGGGCGAGCGUUGUCCGGAAUGACUGGGCGUAAAGGGUGUGUAGGCGGUUUUGCAAGUUGAAAGUGUAAUACCGGGGCUUAACUCCGGUGCUGCUUUCAAAACUGUAAGACUUGAGUGCAGUAGAGAAGGGCGGAAUUCCUAGUGUAGCGGUGGAAUGCGUAGAGAUUAGGAAGAACACCAGAGGCGAAGGCGGCUCUUUGGACUGUAACUGACGCUGAGGCACGAAAGUGUGGGGAGCAAACAGG
rnacentral:rRNA from 1 species